ACGACCUUGUUAUUAGGUACACGGUACAUCAGCAAAUGCCUCCUGUGAUUUUGAGUUAAAAAAAUUGGGGCAAGUAGUUUACCUUGAGAUUUCGAACCUGAUGUGGACAACCAGCAGCUUUCGCUUGUGCUCUGAGGUCAAGUAGAAGGACUGAUCAUGAAUAGGAUGGAUGACCUGAUCACAUGAAGAAUUAGAACUGUCAUUUCCAUAUCAUCAUUGGGGCUGGUAAAGUGAAAAAUUAAGCAGGUGAUGUAACAUACCGCAUCAGACAUGUCACAGUGAAGCUUUGUCACGGAAUCUCCUCUUCCAAGCUCUUGAGCAG